AAGUUUUGACUCCACCAAGUCUUUCUCUUGGAAUAUUGAAAUCAAAGUGGAUUAUCUGGAGGGAAUAUUACAAGCUUUGCUAAUUGAGCUACUAGCGGGUUUGAUUUUGUUCUUAGUUGAAACUUGCGCGAGCUAGAAGCUGUUCAUUGUGAUUUCUGAGAUGAAUUUAAGCAAUGAUAAGUUAUAGUGCACUUAUAAGGAGCUUUCUAAGUAUAAACUACAGGAGGCUGGAGAUUUCUUACAUUCAGCUCAAAGUAGCGCGGCUUCUAGCAAAAUGA